rnacentral:rRNA from 1 species
UGGGGAAUAUUGCACAAUGGGCGCAAGCCUGAUGCAGCGACGCCGCGUGGAGGAUGAAGGCUUUCGAGUUGUAAACUCCUGUUAAGUGGGAAGAAAGACUGCUGACUAAUAAUCAGUGGGGAUGACGGUACCACUAGAGAAAGCACCGGCAAACUUCGUGCCAGCAGCCGCGGUAAUACGAAGGGUGCAAGCGUUAUUCGGAGUUACUGGGCGUAAAGAGUAUGUAGGCGGUUUGUUAAGUUAGUUGUUAAAGACCACGGCUCAACUGUGGAAAGGCAGCUGAUACUGACAGGCUAGAGCGCAGAAGAGAGGAAUGGAAUUCCCGGAGUAGCGGUAAAAUGCGUAGAUCUCGGGAGGAACACCGGUUGCGAAGGCGGUUCCUUGGUCUGUGGCUGACGCUAAAGUACGAAAGCGUGGGGAGCAAACAGG